rnacentral:lncRNA from 1 species
AUCUUACAUAUAAUGUCAAUAUGACUAAACGCAAAAACUCCCACGGCUAACUCAAUGAGAUUGAACUCACCCCAAGCCUAUAUGCACCCAUGACUUGACUCAAUCUUACUCUCAUGGACUCAAACUUAGCCUCAAGGCCCAAAGCCUCUGGACCUCAGGACUGUGAAGGUUGAUAGUCUUUCACCCUAAGAUCCAAACAAGCCCUGAAUCCUUUGAGCCAACUCCAUGGUUCAACUUCUGGCCUCCUAAGACUUGGGAGCACCACACUAACCCCUACAAGAUAAGAAUUUAAAGAAGUGAGGUCUGCGGG